rnacentral:rRNA from 1 species
GACGAACGCUGGCGGCGUGCCUAAUACAUGCAAGUCGAACGCAGUGGGGACGGGUGAGUAACACGUGGGUAACCUCCCAUCAGAGGGGAUUACCCUUGGCAACAGGUGCUAAACCGAUACUGAUGGAUGGACCCGCGGUGCAUUAGCUAGUUGGUGAGGAAACGGCUCACCAAGCCCACGAUGAAGAACCGACCUGAGAGGGUGAUCGGCCAAACUGGGACUGAGACACGGCCCAGACUCCUACGGGAGGCAGCAGUAGGGAAUCUGCGGCAAUGGACGAAAGUCUGACCGAGCAACGCCGCGUGAGUGAAGAAGGUUUUCGGAUCGUAAAACUCUGUUGUUAGAGAAGCGGUAUCUAACCAGAAAGCCACGGCUAACUACGUGCCAGCAGCCGCGGUAAUAC